CGGGACACGUGGUAUCCUGUCUGAAUAUGGGGGGACCAUCCUCCAAGGCUAAAUACUCCUGACUGACCGAUAGUGAACCAGUACCGUGAGGGAAAGGCGAAAAGAACCCCGGCGAGGGGAGUGAAAAAGAACCUGAAACCGUGUACGUACAAGCAGUGGGAGCACGCUUAGGCGUGUGACUGCGUACCUUUUGUAUAAUGGGUCAGCGACUUAUAUUCUGUAGCAAGGUUAACCGAAUAGGGGAGCCGAAGGGAAACCGAGUCUUAACUGGGCGUUAAGUUGCAGGGUAUAGACCCGAAACCCGGUGAUCUAGCCAUGGGCAGGUUGAAGGUUGGGUAACACUAACUGGAGGACCGAACCGACUAAUGUUGAAAAAUUAGCGGAUGACUUGUGGCUGGGGGUGAAAGGCCAAUCAAACCGGGAGAUAGCUGGUUCUCCCCGAAAGCUAUUUAGGUAGCGCCUCGUGAAUUCAUCUCCGGGGGUAGAGCACUGUUUCGGCAAGGGGGUCAUCCCGACUUACCAACCCGAUGCAAACUGCGAAUACCGGAGAAUGUUAUCACGGGAGACACACGGCGGGUGCUAACGUCCGUCGUGAAGAGGGAAACAACCCAGACCGCCAGCUAAGGUCCCAAAGUCAUGGUUAAGUGGGAAACGAUGUGGGAAGGCCCAGACAGCCAGGAUGUUGGCUUAGAAGCAGCCAUCAUUUAAAGAAAGCGUAAUAGCUCACUGGUCGAGUCGGCCUGCGCGGAAGAUGUAACGGGGCUAAACCAUGCACCGAAGCUGCGGCAGCGACGCUGAUGCGUUGUUGGGUAGGGGAGCGUUCUGUAAGCCUGUGAAGGUGUGCUGUGAGGCAUGCUGGAGGUAUCAGAAGUGCGAAUGCUGACAUAAGUAACGAUAAAGCGGGUGAAAAGCCCGCUCGCCGGAAGACCAAGGGUUCCUGUCCAACGUUAAUCGGGGCAGGGUGAGUCGACCCCUAAGGCGAGGCCGAAAGGCGUAGUCGAUGGGAAACAGGUUAAUAUUCCUGUACUUGGUGUUACUGCGAAGGGGGGACGGAGAAGGCUAUGUUGGCCGGGCGACGGUUGUCCCGGUUUAAGCGUGUAGGCUGGUUUUCCAGGCAAAUCCGGAAAAUCAAGGCUGAGGCGUGAUGACGAGGCACUACGGUGCUGAAGCAACAAAUGCCCUGCUUCCAGGAAAAGCCUCUAAGCAUCAGGUAACAUCAAAUCGUACCCCAAACCGACACAGGUGGUCAGGUAGAGAAUACCAAGGCGCUUGAGAGAACUCGGGUGAAGGAACUAGGCAAAAUGGUGCCGUAACUUCGGGAGAAGGCACGCUGAUAUGUAGGUGAAGCGACUUGCUCGUGGAGCUGAAAUCAGUCGAAGAUACCAGCUGGCUGCAACUGUUUAUUAAAAACACAGCACUGUGCAAACACGAAAGUGGACGUAUACGGUGUGACGCCUGCCCGGUGCCGGAAGGUUAAUUGAUGGGGUCAGCGCAAGCGAAGCUCUUGAUCGAAGCCCCGGUAAACGGCGGCCGUAACUAUAACGGUCCUAAGGUAGCGAAAUUCCUUGUCGGGUAAGUUCCGACCUGCACGAAUGGCGUAAUGAUGGCCAGGCUGUCUCCACCCGAGACUCAGUGAAAUUGAACUCGCUGUGAAGAUGCAGUGUACCCGCGGCAAGACGGAAAGACCCCGUGAACCUUUACUAUAGCUUGACACUGAACAUUGAGCCUUGAUGUGUAGGAUAGGUGGGAGGCUUUGAAGUGUGGACGCCAGUCUGCAUGGAGCCGGCCUUGAAAUACCACCCUUUAAUGUUUGAUGUUCUAACGUUGACCCGUGAUCCGGGUUGCGGACAGUGUCUGGUGGGUAGUUUGACUGGGGCGGUCUCCUCCUAAAGAGUAACGGAGGAGCACGAAGGUUGGCUAAUCCUGGUCGGACAUCAGGAGGUUAGUGCAAUGGCAUAAGCCAGCUUGACUGCGAGCGUGACGGCGCGAGCAGGUGCGAAAGCAGGUCAUAGUGAUCCGGUGGUUCUGAAUGGAAGGGCCAUCGCUCAACGGAUAAAAGGUACUCCGGGGAUAACAGGCUGAUACCGCCCAAGAGUUCAUAUCGACGGCGGUGUUUGGCACCUCGAUGUCGGCUCAUCACAUCCUGGGGCUGAAGUAGGUCCCAAGGGUAUGGCUGUUCGCCAUUUAAAGUGGUACGCGAGCUGGGUUUAGAACGUCGUGAGACAGUUCGGUCCCUAUCUGCCGUGGGCGCUGGAGAACUGAGGGGGGCUGCUCCUAGUACGAGAGGACCGGAGUGGACGCAUCACUGGUGUUCGGGUUGUCAUGCCAAUGGCACUGCCCGGUAGCUAAAUGCGGAAGAGAUAAGUGCUGAAAGCAUCUAAGCACGAAACUUGCCCCGAGAUGAGUUCUCCCUGACUCCUUGAGAGUCCUGAAGGAACGUUGAAGACGACGACGUUGAUAGGCCGGGUGUGUAAGCGCAGCGAUGCGUUGAGCUAACCGGUACUAAUGAACCGUGAGGCU
rnacentral:rRNA from 1 species